rnacentral:rRNA from 1 species
CCUACGGAGUGCUGCAGUGGGGAAUAUUGGACAAUGGGCGAAAGCCUGAUCCAGCCAUGCCGCGUGUGUGAAGAAGGCCUUCGGGUUGUAAAGCACUUUCAGUGGGGAAGAAAGCCUUGGGGCUAAUACCCUCGAGGAAGGACAUCACCCACAGAAGAAGCACCGGCUAACUCCGUGCCAGCAGCCGCGGUAAUACGGAGGGUGCGAGCGUUAAUCGGAAUUACUGGGCGUAAAGCGCGCGUAGGCGGUCUGAUAAGCCGGUUGUGAAAGCCCCGGGCUCAACCUGGGAACGGCAUCCGGAACUGUCAGGCUAGAGUGCAGGAGAGGAAGGUAGAAUUCCCGGUGUAGCGGUGAAAUGCGUAGAGAUCGGGAGGAAUACCAGUGGCGAAGGCGGCCUUCUGGACUGACACUGACGCUGAGGUGCGAAAGCGUGGGUAGCAAACAGGAUUAGAUACCCUGGUAGUC